rnacentral:rRNA from 1 species
UACAGGGGGGGCAAGCGUUGUUCGGAAUUACUGGGCGUAAAGGGUUCGUAGGUGGCCAACUAAGUCAGACGUGAAAUCCCUCAGCUUAACUGGGGAACUGCGUCUGAUACUGGAUGGCUUGAGUGUAGGAGAGGAAUGCGGAAUUCCAGGUGUAGCGGUGAAAUGCGUAGAUAUCUGGAGGAAUACCGGUGGCGAAGGCGGCAUCCUGGACCGGCAUUGACGCUGAGGAGCGAAAGCCAGGGGAGCAAACGGG